GCUCUGCACUUUCCAAAUGGCGGUGCAGGCCGAUCACUAUAUAGGGUGGUCAGCUUGGUUGUCCUCCUUCGGGAAACACACUACAGGAUUCGGUAGAACGCGGAGUAGCCUCGAGCGGAACGCGGAGCCGGU
rnacentral:ncRNA from 1 species